GUACUACUUCCUCCGUUCCGAAUUACUUGUCGCAGGUAUGGAUGUAUCUAAAUGUAUUUUAGUUCUAGAUACAUCCAUUUCUGCGACGAGUAAUUUAGAACGGAGGAAGUAUUAC
rnacentral:pre_miRNA from 1 species